rnacentral:miRNA from 2 species
UGGCACUGGGAGAAUUCAC